rnacentral:rRNA from 1 species
GACGUAGGAUGCGAGCGUUGUCCGGAAUCAUUGGGCGUAAAGAGUUCGUAGGUGGCAUAUCAAGUCUGGUGUUAAAGCCCGGAGCUCAACUCCGGUUCGGCACUGGAUACUGGUAAGCUAGAGUGCAGUAGAGGCAAGGGGAAUUCCCAGUGUAGCGGUGAAAUGCGUAGAUAUUGGGAGGAACACCGGUGGCGUAAGCGCCUUGCUGGGCUGUUACUGACACUGAGGAACGAAAGCCAGGGGAGCAAAGGGG